UGAGGUAGUAGGUUGUAUAGUUUAGAAUCAUAUCCCGGUGAACUAUGCAAGCUUCUACCUCACC
rnacentral:pre_miRNA from 1 species